rnacentral:rRNA from 1 species
CCUACGGGAGGCAGCAGUCGAGAAUCAUUCACAAUGGGGGAAACCCUGAUGGUGCGACGCCGCGUGGGGGAAUGAAGGUCUUCGGAUUGUAAACCCCUGUCAUGUGGGAGCAAAUUAAAAAGAUAGUACCACAAGAGGAAGAGACGGCUAACUCUGUGCCAGCAGCCGCGGGAAUACAGAGGUCUCAAGCGUUGUUCGGAAUCACUGGGCGUAAAGCGUGCGUAGGCUGUUGCGUAAGUCGUGUGUGAAAGGCGCGGGCUCAACCCGCGGACGGCACAUGAUACUGCGAGACUAGAGUAAUGGAGGGGGAACCGGAAUUCUCGGUGUAGCAGUGAAAUGCGUAGAUAUCGAGAGGAACACUCGUGGCGAAGGCGGGUUCCUGGACAUUAACUGACGCUGAGGCACGAAGGCCAGGGGAGCGAAAGGGAUUAGAUACCCCAGUAGUC